rnacentral:rRNA from 1 species
GAUGAACGCUGGCGGCGUGCUUAACACAUGCAAGUCGAACGGGAAACCUUUUAUUGAAGCUUCGGCAGAUUUAGCUGGUUUCUAGUGGCGGACGGGUGAGUAACGCGUGGGUAACCUGCCUUAUACAGGGGGAUAACAGUCAGAAAUGGCUGCUAAUACCGCAUAAGCGCACAGAGCUGCAUGGCUCAGUGUGAAAAACUCCGGUGGUAUAAGAUGGACCCGCGUUGGAUUAGCUGGUUGGUGGGGUAACGGCCCACCAAGGCGACGAUCCAUAGCCGGCGUGAGAGGGUGAACGGCGACAUUGGGACUGAGACACGGCCCAGACUCCUACGUGAGGCAGCAGUGGGGAAUAUUGCACAAUGGAGGAAACCCUGAUGCAGCGACGCCGCGUGAAGGAAGAAGUAUCUCGGUAUGUAAACUUCUAUCAGCAGGGAAGAUAAUGACGGUACCUGACUAAGAAGCCCCGGCUAACUACGUG